AGUGAACGCUGGCGGUAGGCCUAACACAUGCAAGUCGAACGGCAGCACAGUAAGAGCUUGCUCUUACGGGUGUCGAGUGGCGGACGGGUGAGGAAUACAUCGGAAUCUACUUUUUCGUGGGGGAUAACGUAGGGAAACUUACUCUAAUACCGCAUACGACCUACGUGUGAAAGCAGGGGAUCUUCGGACCUUGUGCGAUUGAAUGAGCCGAUGUCGGAUUAGCUAGUUGGCGGGGUAAAGGCCCACCAAGGCGACGAUCCGUAGCUGGUCUGAGAGGAUGAUCAGCCACACUGGAACUGAGACACGGUCCAGACUCCUACGGGAGGCAGCAGUGGGGAAUAUUGGACAAUGGGCGCAAGCCUGAUCCAGCCAUACCGCGUGGGUGAAGAAGGCCUUCGGGUUGUAAAGCCCUUUUGUUGGGAAAGAAAAGCAGCAGGUUAAUACCCCGCUGUUCUGACGGUACCCAAAGAAUAAGCACCGGCUAACUUCGUG
rnacentral:rRNA from 1 species